CCUACGGGAGGCAGCAGUGGGGAAUAUUGGACAAUGGGCGCAAGCCUGACCCAGCAACGCCGCGUGAAGGAAGAAGGCUUUCGGGUUGUAAACUUCUUUUCUCAGGGACGAAGCAAAUGACAGUACCUUAGGAAUAAGCCACUGCUAACUACGUGCCAGCAGCCGCGGUAAGACGGAGGUGGCAAGCGUUAUCCGGAUUUACUGGGUGUAAAGGGGGUGUAGGCGGGGCCGCAAGGCAGAUGUGAAAACCCUGGGCUCAACCUGUGGCCUGCAUUUGAAACUGUGUUUCUUGAGUACUGGAGAGGUAGGUGGAAUUCCUAGUGUAGCGGUGAAAUGCGUAGAUAUUAGGAGGAACACCAGUGGCGAAGGCGGCCUACUGGACGGUGACUGACGCUGAGGCUCGAAAGCGUGGGGAGCAAACAGGAUUAGAUACCCCGGUAGUC
rnacentral:rRNA from 1 species